ACCAGACUCCUACGGGAGGCAGCAGUGGGGGAUAUUGCACAAUGGGGGGAACCCUGAUGCAGCGACGCCGCGUGGGUGAAGAAGCGCCUCGGCGCGUAAAGCCCUGUCAGCAGGGAAGAAAAUGACGGUACCUGAAGAAGAAGCCCCGGCUAACUACGUGCCAGCAGCCGCGGUAAUACGUAGGGGGCAAGCGUUAUCCGGAUUUACUGGGUGUAAAGGGGGCGCAGACGGCGAUGCAAGCCAGGAGUGAAAGCCCGGGGCCCAACCCCGGGACUGCUCUUGGAACUGCGUGGCUGGAGUGCAGGAGGGGCAGGCGGAAUUCCUGGUGUAGCGGUGAAAUGCGUAGAUAUCAGGAGGAACACCGGUGGCGAAGGCGGCCUGCUGGACUGCAACUGACGUUGAGGCCCGAAAGCGUGGGGAGCAAACAGGAUUAGAUACCCCGGUAAAA
rnacentral:rRNA from 1 species